rnacentral:rRNA from 1 species
CACGUAGGGUGCGAGCGUUGUCCGGAAUUAUUGGGCGUAAAGAGCUCGUAGGCGGUCCGUCACGUCGGAUGUGAAAUUCCAGGGCUCAACCCUGGACCUGCAUUCGAUACGGGCGGACUAGAGUUCGGUAGGGGAGACUGGAAUUCCUGGUGUAGCGGUGAAAUGCGCAGAUAUCAGGAGGAACACCGGUGGCGAAGGCGGGUCUCUGGACAGUUCCUGACGCUGAGGCACGAAGGUCAGGGGAGCAAACGGG